rnacentral:lncRNA from 1 species
UGAAAGUGAUGUAUCCAAAGGAUGCUAUCUACAUGAGUACACAUUAUGGACGUGGUGAAGCAGCCCUUGCUCUCUCCAAUUUUGCCAUUCCAUAUCUCUUCACAAUUUCAGAUAAGUAUGUUAUCCAUAUCUUUAACGUGGGAGUACUUGAAUAUUUCCACUCCCCUUUCAUAAACUAACAAGAGGCCUCCAUUGUCCCUCAACGCUACAUUCCAUUCAGCCUCAGCUUCAGCAGCUACAAAGUCAUCCACAAGCUUUCCAUUAUGAGACUCAAGGUUCACGUUCAAGCUGCCCCUCGAGCAAUUGCUGGUAAACCCAGCGCGAGGUUCGGUCAACCAAGUUUGGGCUGUCCAAACAACCACGAAUCUGGUCUAUAUGCCUUGAGAGGGCUCCAACCAUAGAAGGACGACCGUUUAAGGCUAUUGGAGAUGAAGGUGCAAAGGUUGACGAAGGAUAAGGAUGUUCCUGCCAAGCCUGUGUUGUUGGGUCUCCUUAUCCCAGUUUAUAUGUUUGAUGAGGUAUUGAGGGUUGUUUUGAUGAGGUCGUAGGUUGGAAAGUUACAGUUGAGUGUUUGGAGUGAUAAGAACUGGAUGUAGGAAGAUGAGUUGGAUAAGGAGAUGUGUUUGUGAAGGAAUACCAAAGUGGAAGCAACAAAAAAAAUGUGAGAUAUAAAUAUCUCUCCCCCUUCUUUUAGCUCACACGUUCCCCUCCUCUUCCUAGUAAGAAAGUUG